AUGCUAUUUUUGAUGCUGGGGCUGUUUCAGCUCCUCCCAGUGCAAGUAUCUGCUUCUAAAGAUCAGGCUGCCCCCUUAAAUCCUUAUGUUUUAUCCCUUCUUGCUCAGUCUCCUGUCCUGACUCCUGCUACAGAUGCCAGAAUCCCAAACAGGACUUCUCCAUUGGAGGUCCUCAGUGACACAGAAGAGGAGAAACUCCAGACCCAUACAUGUAUCAGAAUCCAGGCUGGAAGCCAGGAUUUUGGGGGUUGUCCCCCUCUUGUGGACAAUGUAGUGAGAGCAGCAGCAACAGGAAUUAGAAGACAACAGCAAAAUACAUGAUUUCCUCCAGUGUUUAUUUCAUGCCUGAGUGGAAAAGAACAUCACAGUCUACAGGAAAGUGGCUUCUCUUGUCAUUUCUGUUGAUUUGACAGAUGGCAUAUAGUCGAUCAGCCCAUGGAAGGGCUGAUCAAGGCCUGGUCUAGAAAGCAAAUGCUGCUUGCUUGCAAAUCUUGAAAAAAAUCCAUCCAGCAUAGAGGAUGAAAUGCCAACAGUCUUGAAAAAAACAACGGCAGUGAAAUUCUGCUAUGUUUCGUUUUGAUUUCAAAGGGAGUCUGAAAAUCUAAACUUUAGAGUAGUCUGUGUGUGAACUGCUGAGGACUGAUGAGGCUGGCAGCCAACCUGGCCAGAAACAAGACAGAAAGAUACUUAAUAGUGUUUGAAAGCUUCAUCAAUGUUGACAAAUUUCCAUGAAGUGUUUCAAUAUACUGUCAUUCUGUGGUGGAAAUGGACCCACCUGAAAAUUUUCCACUGAUACUUAGGCUGGUUCAAAGCUGGCUGUGACUGCAUUCAGUUCCACUCUUUCUCCCUGAUGCUAAAGGAUUUCAAAAGGAUUUGGGACAGACCCUGAACAAUUAGGUGGAAGAUUACCAGCAAAGUUGUAAAACUUUCUGAAACUAAACCAKAUUUUUUUAAAAAGAGAUCAUCUUCAAUACACUAUUAGUUCUCCCUAUACAAAGGUGAUACAUUUAGAAUUUGGAAUGUAAAUGUUCAAAAGCUAUGCUCAUAUAUAGAGAGAUACGUAUUCUUCUCCACCACUGCAGAUUUUCAAGACUCAGCUAAACAAGCCACAGCUGACAUGACAUAGCAUUGGUGAUAGACCUGCUCUAAGCACGAGUUUGGACGAGAGACCUCCAGAGAAGGAGCUCAUCCAACCAAGAAUUCCCAAUUCUGCCUUGCUUUCACUCUGGAAAGAAUAGUGUUGAAAAGGGGAUCAUUGGUUUAAAUACCUUUGAGUGGCUCUAGAAGAACAUAUUGUGGGAUAAUACCAUCUGAACACUGAGGAAAAAGCU
rnacentral:lncRNA from 1 species